rnacentral:rRNA from 1 species
AACGAACGCUGGCGGCAUGCCUAACACAUGCCAGUCGAACGAGACCUUCGGGUCUAGUGGCGCACGGGUGCGUAACGCGUGGGAACCUGCCCUUAGGUUCGGAAUAACUCCCCGAAAGGGGUGCUAAUACCGGAUAAUGUCUUCGGACCAAAGAUUUAUCGCCUUUGGAUGGGCUCGCGUUGGAUUAGCUAGUUGGUAGGGUAAAAGCCUACCAAGGCGACGAUCCAUAGCUGGUCUGAGAGGAGGAUCAGCCACACUGGGGCUGAGACACGGCCCAGACUCCUACGGGAGGCAGCAGUGGGGAAUAUUGGGCAAUGGGGGAAAGCCUGAUCCAGCAAUGCCGCGUGAGUGAUGAAGGCCUUAGGGUUGUAAAGCUCUUUUACCCGGGGUGAUAAUGACAGUACCGGGAGAAGAAGCUCCGGCUAACUACGUG